AGCUCAUAGCUCAGCAUUUCUCCUCUCCAUCUGUCAGUCACCUAAUCUUGCAGAGCCCUGAAACGGAAGCUUAGUGGAAGAACUUGAACAUGUUGCUCUCCGGCCUUAUGAGAGUGGUCAUAACUUUGAUGUGGCUAGGAUUCAGUAUUGCCCAGAAGGUAACUCAAGGCCAACAAGCAAUACUGGUGCAGGAGAAGGAGGCUGUGAGCCUGGAUUGCACAUAUGAAACCAGCGAUACAAGUUAUAGUCUAUUCUGGUACAAGCAGCUCAGCAGUGGGGCAAUGAUUUUCCUUAUUCGUCAGGACUCUUACAGCCAGCAAAAUGCCACAGGAGGCCGCUACUCACUGAAUUUUCAGAAAGCAAAGAGUUCUGCCAACCUUGUCAUCUCAGCUUCACAGCUGGAGGACUCAGCAGUGUAUUUCUGUGCCCUGAGUGAUCCCACAGUGAGAGGCGUGUUAGAAGGAGGUGUACCAAAACCCCAGGGCUCUGCUUCAAGGUGGGGAAUUGUAAUGACAGACAGGAAGUGGUCAGGGCUGUGGCAGCACAGGUGUAGGUAG